CCCAGAACGUCAUCUGUAACAGUGAAUUGUGGGUAAUAUGCUUCGGCAAAGUCCGCUUAGAUGCGCGUUUAGCCGAAGUGUGGAUUGAGGGAGACAAGUCUGACUAAAAGUGGAGGUUUCUCCACCUGUAGGCGUUCCGUGAUCACGGACAGUGAUUGGUUGGCUUUAUGUCCUCUGUUUUUCACGGAGGUAUAAAUACAGAGCUAACCAGAGCUGACCUGUAUGAAGUUGCACGAGAAGCGCAGAAUGAAGGUGUCGUUGACUGGAAGAAGUUCUCUAAAGAAUUUCAGGCUGAGUACCGGAAGCCGUACCUCAUAUAAACCUGCUUAAGUUGUGGAACCACAUUUAAAGAUUGUGGUGCAGAUUACUGGGGCAAUGGGAAACGAGGACAGCUGAGAGGCUUUUAUUCUGAACCCAGUACUCCGGGGUACUGCAGCCACUUCUGCGCCAUGGAUGCAGGAUGCCAUGAAGAGUUUUAAGAUGUCUUCAAAAGUUAAAUUCUUCAGAAGUACACCACCACCAAGUGAUGCCUGCACAUGUUUUUUUGAUGUAAAAUAAAGACCAUCUUUAACCUCA